rnacentral:snRNA from 1 species
AUCUUUGCGCUUGGGGCAAUGACGCAGCUAGUGAGGUUCUAACCGAGGCGCGUCUAUUGCUGGUUGAAAACUAUUUCCAAACCCCCUCUUUGGCCUUGGCUUCUGCUUUGGCCAUAGAGAAUUUUUGAAAAGGCUUCCCUUCUGGGUUAAGCC